GCCUGGGUGGCUCAGUCGGUUGAGCAUCCGACUUCGGCUCAGGUCAUGAUCUCGCGGUCCGUGAGUUCGAGCCCCGCAUCAGGCU
rnacentral:tRNA from 1 species